AGCGAACGCUGGCGGCAGGCCUAACACAUGCAAGUCGAACGAAGUCUUCGGACCUAGUGGCGGACGGGUGAGUAACACGUGGGAACGUGCCUUUAGGUUCGGAAUAACUCAGGGAAACUUGUGCUAAUACCGAAUGUGCCCUUCGGGGGAAAGAUUUAUCGCCUUUAGAGCGGCCCGCGUCUGAUUAGCUAGUUGGUGAGGUAAAGGCUCACCAAGGCUACGAUCAGUAGCUGGUCUGAGAGGAUGACCAGCCACAUUGGGACUGAGACACGGCCCAAACUCCUACGGGAGGCAGCAGUGGGGAAUCUUGCGCAAUGGGCGAAAGCCUGACGCAGCCAUGCCGCGUGGAUGAUGAAGGUCUUAGGAUUGUAAAAUCCUUUCACCGGUGAAGAUAAUGACUGUACCCGGAGAAGAAGCCCCGGCUAACUUCGUGCCAGCCGCCGCAGUAACAC
rnacentral:rRNA from 1 species